GUGCCAGCCGCCGCGGUAAUACGUAGGCAGCAAGCGUUGUUCGGAAUUACUGGGCGUAAAGGGUGUGUAGGCGGUUUGGCAAGUCUGGUGUGAAAUCUCCCGGCUUAACUGGGAGGGUGCGCUAGAAACUGCCAAGCUAGAGUGUGGGAGAGGAAAGUGGAAUUCCUGGUGUAGCGGUGAAAUGCGUAGAUAUCAGGAGGAACACCUGCGGUGUAGACGGCUUUCUGGACCACUACUGACGCUGAAACACGAAAGCGUGGGGAGCAAACAGGAUUAGAAACCCCUGUAGUCC
rnacentral:rRNA from 1 species